GACGAACGCUGGCGGCGUGCUUAACACAUGCAAGUCGAACGGAAAGGCCCUGCUUUUGUGGGGUUCUCGAGUGGCGAACGGGUGAGUAACACGUGAGUAACCUGCCCUUGACUUUGGGAUAACUUCAGGAAACUGGGGCUAAUACCGGAUAGGAGCUCCUGCUGCAUGGGGGGGGUUGGAAAGUUUCGGCGGUGGGGGCUGGACUCGCGGCUUAUCAGCUGGUUGGUGGGGUAGUGGCUUACGAAGGCUUUGACGGGUAGCCGGCCUGAGAGGGUGACCGGCGACCAUGCGACUGAGAUAAGGACCAGACUCCUACGGGAGGCAGCAGUGGGGAACAUUGCACAAUGGGGGGAAGCCUGAUGCAGCAACGCCGCGAGCGGGAUGCCGGCCUUCGGGUUGUAAACCACUUUCGCCUGUGACGAAGCGUGAGUGACGGUAAUGAGUAAAGAAGCACCGGCUAACUACGUG
rnacentral:rRNA from 1 species